GGCGGGGGGGGACAGGUGGACAUAACGGAGGCAGCUCCCACUGCAUCUGGAACACCAGCUAAAUGCCUCCACAGACUGACUGCUGUUACCUUCUGUUCAUCCUGUUGAACACGUUGCUAGAGACUAGAGGCGACAAUCUGACAAUUCAGCCAAAGCUAAUGUGCUAUCUGUCUUGCCACUGUGUUUUACGCCAUAUAUUAUCAUGUUAUAAGACAUCGACAUGCAUGCAAGGUUACGGCUAGCUGACAGAGACGACCGUAAAAAGCCUCAAGCCGGGUGUCCGUCUUCUCUUAAUGUUCUAUCAACAACAAAGACAGGUCUCAGUUCCUUCUCCAAUGUGAAAGAGCCUCUACAGUCACACCAAGCACCAUUACUUUACAGGACCAGAGAGGAGGUUCUUUAAAACAACAUUACAGGACCAGAGAGAGGAGGUUCUUUAAAAUAACAUUACAGUACCAGGGAGAGGAGGUUCUUUAAAAUAACAUUACAGUACCAGAGAGAGGAGGUUCUUUAAAACAACAUUACAGUACCAGAGAGGAGGUUCUUUAAAACAACAUUACAGGACCAGAGAGAGGAGGUUCUUGAAAACAACAUUAAAGUACCAGGGAGAGGAGGUUCUUUAAAACAACAUUACAGGACCAGAGAGAGGAGGUUCUUUAAAACAACAUUACAGUACCAGAGAGAGGAGGUUCUUUAAAAUAACAUUACAGUACCAGGGAGAGGAGGUUCUUUAAAAUAACAUUACAGUACCAGAGAGAGGAGGUUCUUUAAAACAACAUUACAGUACCAGAGAGGAGGUUCUUUAAAACAACAUUACAGUACCAGAGAGAGGAGGUUCUUUAAAACAACAUUACAGUACCAGAGAGGAGGUUCUUUAAAACAACAUUACAGGACCAGAGAGAGGAGGUUCUUGAAAACAACAUUAAAG
ensembl:lncRNA